AGAUGAGAUGAUGAAUCAUAUUAAUAUCCCUAAUGGUUUGAUUGGCUGAUAUGAUGGCAUAAAUACUAAAUGAAUCUUAUCAUCU